rnacentral:lncRNA from 1 species
CUUCCAUCUCUCCUCCUCCUUUUCCUCUUUUUCUCCUCGUCCUUUCUCCUUUUUGUUUCCUCCUCCUUUCCUCAUCCUCCCGUUUUUUUCUUUUCUUCCUCCUCCCCUCCCCUUGUCUCCUUUUCCUCUCCUCCUUUUCAGUUCUUCCUCCUUUUCCUUCGCCUCUCCUCCUCUCCACCUUUUUCUCUUCCUCCUUCUCCUAUCCACAUUCUCCUCUUCCUCUUACUUUUCCUUUCUCUCCUUCUUCUCCUCUCCUUUCUCCUCUCCUCCUGUUCCUUUUCUUCUUUCUUCUCUCCUCCUCCCCUCCUUCUCUUCCUCAUCUUCCUUUUCUCCAUCUUCUCCUCGUCCUCCUCCUCCUCUCCCCCUCCUUUCCUCCUCUUCCCUUCCUCUUCCUCCUACUCUCUUCCCCCUCCUUUUCUUUGUUCCUACUUUCCUCCUUCUCCCCAUUCUUUUCCUUUUUUCUCCUCUACUUCUCUGUCCUCUUCUCCUCCGUCUUCUUCCUAUCAUCCUCCUUUUCCUUUCUUCUCCUCUACUCUUCUCCUCCUUUUCCUUUUUCUCUCCUCUUCCUUUUUCCUUUUCCUCUUCUCUUCCUCCCAUCCUCCUUUUCCUUCUUUUCCUCCUCCUUUUCUCUUCUCCUUUCUCCUCCUCCUUCUCUUCUCCUCUCCUCCUCCUUUCCUCUUCUCUCCUCCUCCUCUACUUCUCCUUCUUUAUCCUCUCCUCCUUCUUUUCUUCUACGCCUUCUCCUCAUUCUCCUCUCCUCUUUUUCUCAUUCUUUUCGUCUCCUCCUUCUCUUUCUUCUUCCUCCUUCUCCUCUUUUUCUACUCCUCCUACUUUUCCUUUUUCUUUUCUCCCAUCCUUUUCCUCCUCCUAUUCUUCUCCUCUUCGUUUCCUAUUUUUUCUCCUCCUCUCCUCUUUCUCCACUCCUUUCUUUUCUCCUCCUCCUUCUCUUCUCCUUUCCUCCUCCUCUCCUUCACCUCUUCAUCUCCUCCUCCUUCUUCUGCUCCCGAUUCUCCUCCUCUCCUUUCUCUUCGUCUUCUCCUCUUCCUUGUCCCCUCCUCCUCCUUGUCCAUCUCCUCUACUCCUCCUUCUCCUCCUCCUCCUUCUCUUCCUUUCCUCCUUUCCUCUUUUUCUCAUCCUCUCCUCCUCCUCUCGUCCUCUUCUCUUUUCCUCAUUCUUUUCUUCUUCUCCUCCUUUUUUCUCCCUACUUCCUCCUAGCUUCCCUUUUCUCCUCUCCUCUCCUGGUCCUGUUGUCCCCCUCUCCUUUUUUUCUCCACUUCCUCUCUUCUUACUAUCUUCUUCUCAUUUUCUCUUCUAGUUCUUCUCUUUCCUCCUCCUUUUCUUCUCUUCUCCUCCUCCUCUUUCUUCACUCCUCCACUCCUACUCCUUCUCUUACUGUGCCACUGGCCAUGCCAAACAGCACCCAGCACAAGUAGUGGCACCCUCUUCAGCGCUGCGCUAGAAAGAACUGAUGUGCAUUUAUAUUAGCUUUUGGAGGAUAGUACUAAUCCGGCCUAACUCAGGCGGCCAAGUAUAUAUAUAUAUAUUUAUAGAUAUAUUCUAUGAGAAAUAAUCUUGCUCUGUCACCUAGGCUGCAGUGCAGUGGCACAAGAUUAUGACUCACUGUAGCCUCAAGAGAUCCUCUCACCUCACCCUCCCGAGUAGCUGGGACUACAGGCGUGGCCCAUCACACCUGACUAAAUUCUUUUUUAGUGACGGGGUCUCAACACGUUGCCUAGUCUGGUCUGAAACUUCUGGGCGCAAGCUCUCUAAUGUUUUUGCAUUCAUAGUCUCCCUUAUUUUAAUUUCUCAAGUUUUUGCAAAAUUGUUACAUAACUAUCCGCCCUUUUCAUAGAGCGCUGUUUCUUGAGCCAGGUCUUCUGUCCAUGCAUGUCCUCUUGAGAGAGUGGAUGUCAGCCAGCUACCCUGGCUGAGAGGGAUGGGGAUAAUACAGGGAUGCAAUAAAGGAGACAGUGAUAAUUUAUAUGAUCUGGGACCCCAGGCCUCACACCAGAACUGUCUAGUAUACUUUUAGCAAACAAGUGCCACUGAUCUGAGCCUUGUUCUGCCCUUCCACUUUCCACUUUAUUACACAAGCAGGAGAUAGGCAAGGGAGAAGGCAGGAUGAUGAGGAGACUAAAUUCCAGAAAAGAAAGGGCUGCGUGCAGUAAGCAGACAGUUGCCCCCAAAGUGGUCUGGGCUCCCACUUACCUUAGAGACAUGUGCAACACUUGUGAAUAGUUGUUUUACAAUUCUUAAAUCAGUGGACAGACUGUAAGCAUCCCAUUGGUGUCAGUUGCCAGGUGCCCAAUGCCUGUUCUCUGCAGCAACCUUUGUGGUCCCAUACCUGGGCGUGAGUUCUGUUCCUGCAGAGUGCCCUGUGCAUUCUGGUGCUUUUGUGCCCUCUCCUCUAACCUAUAAACUGACAACUCUAACUCUAUAUUUUCACUUACAAUUUUUCUGAAGCAGUGAUCUUUUGUCAUCUUGAUCACACUACAAGUCGCUCACCCUGCAAGUACUUGUAAAAAUGAAAGUAAUCUCCAUUCCUUCUGGAAGGUGAUUGCCAUGUACACAACCUACUAGGCCAGGAACAUUACUGAUGGCUGUCCUGAUGCAUGUCUCUCUCACCCCCAUGUCCAAUCAGUCACCAGGCUCUCCCCAAAACCAUGCUCCGGUCACUGACUUUGGCUGUUUAAUCACUUCUGACCUAAGGUCCUCAUUGAGUCAUAAGUACCUCUUGAGUUAAUUUUCUGCCUCCAGUUUCUCUCUACUGCUGUUUAUCUUCCACCCUGCUGCCAGAGUCAUCAUCCUCAAAAAUGAAAGCUGCUCUCAUUGUUUGCCUGCCUAAUAACAUCUCUUCCCUCCCUGUUGUCUACAAAAAGAAAAAUCCAAACUCCUUCACUUGUUUUACAAAGACCCUCAUCUGCUUCCAAACCAAAUUGCUAGUCUUGGCUCUUGUCUCUGUCUUCCACAUCACUGCCACACUGAAUAAUUCUUUACUGCCUCUGUUGUUGCACGGGUUGUUCUUUUUGUUUUGUCUCCAUCCCCUUCCCCCAGCAAAGAAUAUUUACUCUUUACUCUUCUGUUGAGACCCAUCUCAAAUACUACCUUUUCUAGGGAAAAUUAGGCCUUCUGUUCCUAAUAACUUUUACCCCCAUCUAUCAAGUCUGUCUGCUGUAAUUUAUCUGUUAACAUGUUUCUCCCACCUCAAGAAUAUUUUUUCCAUCUUCUGUACCUAGCACAAUUGCAUGGUUGGUGCUCACUGACUACUACAUGUUGAUUUAUUUAUUUUACUUGUUUGAGAGGUGGAGUCUUGCUCUGUUAUCCAGGCUGGUGUGCAGUGAUACAAUCUUGGCUCACUGCAGGCUCUGCCUCCCGGUUUCAAGCAAUUCUCCUGCCUCAGCCUCCCAAGUAGCUCCGAUUACAGGCACCCACCACCACGUCCAGCUAAUUUUUGUAUUUUCAGUAGAGACAGGUUUCACCACAUUGGUCAGGCUGGUUUUGAACUCCUGACCUCAGGUGAGCCGCCUGCCUUGGCCUGGCAAAAUGCUGGGAUUACAGGCAUAAGACACCAUGCCUGGACUUGCAUGCUGAUUUCCGAUAUAAAAAUGAAAUUUUUGAAGAUUUUGGAGAAUACCAUCAUGUAAAUUGGAAGCUAAGGCCUAACUAUUACUACACAUUCAGCAAAGGAAGUGGGUAUAAACUAACAACUUUGGCACAUCUGUCAUGCAGUAGUUUGCUGCAAGGUGGAAAAGAUUUUGGUGCUUUGGUGGGAAAUACUGUUGAAUUACAGAAAUUCUAAAACAAAAGCUGGCUCAGCUUAAAGAGAAAAGAAAAUGCUUGCUAAUGCCUGCUUGCACUAAAAGCUGUCACACUGUGGCCUUUAAUAAUUCUAAACAUUUUUAAUGGAUUUUGGUUUGAACUUCAAAUUCAAUAGGAAAAAUAAAUGCACAGAUAAAGGACCCAGAUCAUUUCAGAGCUCCAAUGUGUGAACCCGUUUUCUCUACUUAUUUAGAGUUUUGUUUCACUAGUGGCAUGAGUUAAUAGGAGUGUUGCUUUGUACAUAAAUUCUCUUUAUUCCAUAAUUCUUGGUUUUAAAAAUUGAAUGCAAUACCAGAAACCUACAGGGUAUAAAUCUUGCUUGAUGUGUGUGCAAUGUACAUACUUGAUAAUAAUUGAUUAUAUAUCAUAUUUAUAAAAAGAAUCAUGUGUACUGUUUUAGGAGAACAUACUUUACCCUGAUACUUUAUUGUUAAAAACAACAAAGCAUUGUUCUAACUACUAAAAAUCAAAAAUUUAACUUUCUUUUAAAAGAGGUACAUGUAUCUUCAGAAAUAAAAGGGAUACCCAGAAGAUAAGGUAGGUGUUCUGAAACACGAGGUGAAACAUUUGAAUGGGUUUUUUUUGUCAAACAAUAAAUUUUUAACAAAGAAAAAGUUUGCAUUAUGGGUGAAGUAUCCUUAGUAUCUUUAUACAAGAUGAAAUCCUGAUUGAUUAAAGAUACGUUACUAACUUUAAAUGUCUUUUAAUAAGUGCUUACAUGCUAACUAGUAUUUAGACUCAUACCUGGCAGAUACAUUUAGACAUAAGAUUCUAACUUAGUUUCAUUUCUGAGGAGGCUUGUGUAUUUUCCUCUGUGAUACAGAAAAUAGAUUUUUUUAAGCCAUUUUAUCUUUUACUUUAGAGUUUUAAUUGUUUGUUAAGUGGUUUAUAAUGGUUUAAUUAACAACCCGAACAGGUUUUCUGUGAUUUGGUUGGUUAAAUCUAUAUGUAUUUGGUUAAAAUAUUCUACGUCAAAGUUUUAAACCAAGAGUAACUUAAAGGAGUCUUAACUUGUGUUUCUCUGAAUUUGAUUUGUGUUUAAAUUAUGAAAUUAAGUUUUCAAAGAACGAUUUUUGUGUUCAAAAGCUUAAGGUUUCACAACUUAAUUUUCCUAAGUACAAUUUUUUUCUAUCGGACUUAGCCUCCUUUUAGAAGACAGUUUUUUACUACCAAAUUUACCAUUCCCAUUUUUUUUUUUACUUUUACAGAUCUGUAUUUAGUCCAUAAAUAUCCAAAUAUCUGCUUGUGAAGGUUCUGUCUUUACCACCAAGCCUACCGGUAUGGCAAAGACAUACAGUUGCUAAUCUCAUUAAAGAUAGAUCACAAUGAGAGAGACUCAUCUAGCCAUGAACAGGUCACUUCUAUCAGUGUUAACUGCUCAAAGUUAAGUAUGACAAGAAGCUAUGAAGUAAAGUUUGGCCUUUGUGUAUGGGAGAGGAAUGGAGGAUGCCAGGAUGCAGGUCAAGGAAGGCAUCCUGUGGAAGUAACAUUUGAGCUAAUAUCUGAAGGAUGUGUGAUAGAAGGAAAAAGAAUGCUUCAGAGAACAGCUGGUACAAAAGCCCUGAGGUUGAAAAGGUGGAUGUGUCAGGGAAAUGGGGGAAGUACAGUGUCUGGAAGAAGAAAAGACACUGAAUGAGGUGAAUGACAGGAAUGAUGAAGUAGAUAGGGGCUAGAGCAGAUUGUAAGAACUCUGGAAAGCUUUGAAAACUGUUGGGCCAAAAAGUAGUAUGAUGAAAUUUGCAUGCUAAGGACUAUUUUUACCCAAGUAGUAAAUAGACCAGGUAGAAGGAAAUAAUGAUUGGCCUUCUGUUUGGAAGAUCAGUUAGAAGGCUAGUUUAUGAAAACUUUGAAAAGCAGUGAUGGCCUGCAGCAUCGUGACAGUAAAGAUGGGAGCUCAAAUGGAUUUGAUAAAGGUUUAAGAGGUAAGAGAGGCUUGCUGAUUGGAUGGUGUGGGGAAGGGAUAGAUAACUUCCUGAUCUUGGAUUUUAUAGCUGGGUGGAUGGUGGUGCCUCAUUGAGACUGGAAUGCUGGAUUAAGCAAUGUAUAUGAACAGGGCAUGUUCCCUACCCUUUAAAGAGUUAUGUAUAUGUUUUCCAUGUUUUUAGCUAUUUCUCCACUUGUAAUGUGUUUUAGUUGGUUAAAAAUUAUGUACCUGGCAUGGAUGACGCAUUAAAUGUACUUAUGUAACUGAUAAACCAAUGUUACAUUCUUGAAAAUAAAUUACAUUCUAUGAAAA